rnacentral:lncRNA from 1 species
UGUUGAGUUGCACUUGCCCAAUAGUAAUCUUCCCAUUCUACCUAUCCAUUUUCCAUCUCUAAACUUCACAUCCCUUCAAGUGCUUGACCUCUCCAACAAUGGUUUCAACUCCACGAUACCUCACUGGUUGUUCAACAUCACUAACCUUUUAAGUCUUGAUCUCAACUCCAACGAUCUUCAAGGCGACAUCCCAGAUGGAUUUGCCAGCUUGAAUUCUCUCCAACUGCUUGAUUUGUCUGGAAAUUCAUUCCUUGAAGGCCAGCUAUCCAGAAAUUUGGGAACUCUAUGCAAUUUGCAAACAUUGAAGCUUUCCUUAAACCAAUUCAGAGGUGAGGUGAGUGAUUUUAUUGAUGGUUUAUCUGAAUGUAUUAAUAGCAGCUCAUUAGCGAGACUAGAGUUAGGAUACAAUCAACUAACCGGUAAUCUUCCUAUUUCUUUAGGAUAUCUUAAGAAUUUACGAUACCUUGAACUUUGGUACAACUCUUUUCUAGGUUCAAUUCCACCAUCAAUUGGAAACUUAACCUUUCUGGAGGAAUUGUACCUCACAAGUAAUCAAAUGAAUGGGAAAUUCCCAGAAAGUUUUGGGCAGCUCUCAGCAAUCAGAGUGUUAGAGCUUUCUGAUAACCAAUGGGAAGGGUUCAUAACUGAAGCUCAUCUUAGGAACCUCACAAGCCUAGAAGAACUAUCUUUAAUUAAAACGUCAAACAGUUCUUUGUCUUUCAACAUUAGUUUUGAUUGGAUUCCCCCUUUUAAACUCCGAUACCUUGUCAUUAGAUACUACCAAUUGGGUCCAAAAUUUCCAACAUGGCUUCGAAAUCAAACUGAACUAACAACUUUGGUCCUUAACGGUGCCAGUAUUUCUGACACCCUACCGAGUUGGUUCUGGCAAUUAAACCUGACCCUAGAUGAGCUAGAUGUUGGGGGUAAUCAUUUGAGUGGAAGAAUUCCAAAUACCUUGGUCUUUCGGUUUCCAGGCUCUGUUGAUUUGAGUUCAAACAGAUUCGAGGGUCCUCUCCCUCUCUGGUCAUCCAAUCUGACGAAGCUGUACUUGAGGGACAAUUUGUUUUCUGGGCCAAUUCCUAACGACUUAGGCCAAAAAACGCCAUUCCUAACAGACUUAGAUAUCUCUUUUAACUCUCUAAAUGGUAGCAUUCCCCAGUCCGUAGGCAAUCUAAAGCAAUUACUAACAUUGGUCAUUUCUAACAAUAAUUUGUCCGGUGGGAUUCCUCAAUUUUUAAAGAACAUAUCUUCCCUGUAUAUUCUAGAUAUGACAAAGAAUAAUUUUUCCGGUGAAAUUCCGGAAUCAAUAGGUUCUCUUCUUACGAUCAGGUUCUUAGUACUUUCUAACAAUCAUCUUUCUGGAGAAAUUCCUCCUUCACUGAAAAAUUGCUCGCUGAUGGAUAGUCUUGAUCUUGGUGAGAAUCAACUCUCUGGCAACAUUCCAGCUUGGAUAGGAGAAAGCAUGCCAUCAUUGUCAAUUUUACGUCUGCGAUCCAACCACUUCAAUGGAACCAUUCCUUCUGAAUUGUGCAAGCUUUCUGCUCUUCACAUAUUGGACCUGUCCCAUAAUAACCUCUCGGGACCCAUUCCUCACUGUGUAGGAGACUUCAGUGCUAUGAAAGUUAAACCACCAGAUACAGAAAUAUACCAGGGAAGUUUGCAAGUGGCUAUAAAAGGAACUCAAUAUGUAUACCAACAAACACUUUACCUGGUAAACCUCAUGGAUCUUUCAAGGAACAAUCUAUCAGGAGAGAUGCCGGUAGAGCUUACAAGCCUUCUUCAUUUGGGAACCUUGAACUUGUCAGGGAAUCAAUUGGUAGGAAAAAUACCAACACAGAUAGGAAAAUUGGAAUGGUUGGAAUCUUUAGAUCUAUCCAGAAACAAGCUUUCUGGUUCUAUUCCUCCAAGCAUGGUUUCAAUUAGAUUCUUGAGUUUCUUGAACCUAUCAUUCAACAACUUGUCCGGAGAAAUACCAACUGCCAACCAAUUUCAAACCCUCAUUAAUCCAUCAAUUUAUGAGGGUAAUCUAGCACUUUGUGGUGUUCCAUUACCAAAAAGGUGCUCUGAAAUUGAUGGAACACCGCAGAUUCCUGGUGCAGAUGAAGAUAAGGAAGAUGAAAACGGGCAUGACAAGCUAUGGCUCUUUGUUAGCGUGGGACUAGGUUUCAUCAUGGGAUUUUGGGGAGUUUGUGGCACUUUGAUCAUCAAGAAGUCUUGGAGAUACGCUUAUUUUCAGUUUUUUGACAAAAUAAAGGAUCAGCUUCUCACAUUUUUGGCAUUAAGUGUUGUUCGUCUGAAGAGGAAAAUGUCGGAGAAGAAUGGAGCUGGGGAAACCUGAUCUGAAGUUACCAAAUAUGUGCAAAGAUGAGUAAUUGCUUCUAUUCAGCAAUGUUUAGAACUUCAAGGCUUAGAAGUAUUAGUAAAUUUGUUGUAAUACUGCAAGUGUUUUGUGAUAAAGAUAAACUUUUCGUAAUGCUUCAAUCCUUCUGUGAAAAAAAUAAACUUAUAAUACUGAGUAAGUUUCUAACUACAAGAAUAUUAAUUUUGUUAUCUGAUGAUCUUCAAUAUGUAUACUUUCAUUUGAUAUCAACCUUUCCUUUAUUCUCAAUCAUAUAAUAAAUAUGAUGUAGGAAGCAUAAUGUCACAAAAACUUCUUUUAAAAAGAUUUCAAAUAAGCAUUAUGUUUCCAAUAAAGAGGUAAAUGCAUAUUCCUAAUUUGAGUUUUAUAUCUAAUGAUAUGGUUAAAAUUGUGCAAGAAGCUCAAGUUGAAGAGACACCAACUGUUCGUGAAGAUGAUAUAAUUGAAAUGAUUUUGCCAAUUCGAGUUAAAGGCUCAAGAAUUAUUCUUGAAGAUAAUUUCCCCAAGGUAAUUGAUAUGUUUAUGCCUAUAUACAUUGAACAAAAGAAAGUUGUUCUUGAUGAAAAAGCAACUGAAAAGGUUGAAAUUUAAUGGUGUUAAGCCAAUUAUUUAUAGAGUUGACAUCUGAUGGCAAGUCUAGUUAAAUUGAAAUUUUAUUUAUUACAUAUCUUGCAAUAGGAAUUAAUUUAUUAAUUCCCUAAUUUAGUGAGAUUCUAAUUUAUUAGGGAUAUUUGUUUCCUAAUUUAGUUAGAUGUCUGAUUUAGAAAGUCUAUUAAUGAUGGGAUUCUAUAAUUGGUGCAUGAAAUCUAUUUAGAGCAAGAAAUUGGUUCAAAUGGGAAGUUCAUUAAAUGCUCUAGAUAUUUCUUGGGAGACAAGCAAGGCAAGAAGAUCAGAUUUAUUCCUAUUCAGAUUCAUGGGAAUUAUAAGAGGAAAUAAACUCUUAUUUGGAAAGAAUCCAAGUCUUUUAAGACUUGCUAUUUUUGUGAAACCCUAAUACCUAUAUAAAGAGAGGUAUUUCACAAUUGAAGGCACGCGCAACAUAGAGUAUAAAGUAGAGAAGCAAAAUACAGCCUCCUCCUUAGAGAAUCCAGAUUUGGCGCAUAAUAUUGUGUUGAUUUAUUUAUUUAUUUAUCUUCUUUUCAUCUCUAUGGAGAGUCUAUGUGGAUCUUGAAUCACUAGACAUUGAAGAAUUGAAGAAUUGUUAUUGAUCACUUUGCGAAGUGCCUUGAGAAUCGUGGAUCAAGAGGUGUAACAAUUAUUCAAGAGAAGUAGAUUCAGUCUAAGGUUGAGUAAACUAUAUGGUGAUAAACUAUAAGUGAGAGUCUUAAGUUUAGUAAAUUCAUAGGUUGUAACAUGUCAACUUGAUGAAUUGUUUUUCAUCUGGGUGGCGCCUCGUGGAUGUAGGGUUGAUUAAUCCAAACCACGUAAAAAUCUCCGUGUCAUUUAUUUUCUGCAAUUUAUUGUGUUUUUGAAAAAUUAAUAUUUUUUUAUGCGGAUGAACAGUCACAGUGACCAGUAUUUCCAAAAAUCAAUUAAGUUAUUAAUUUUUUUGUUUUUAAUUGCCUACAUCUAUUUGCGAUAAAUUUAAAUUCCUUUCAAUUGGUAUCAGAGCGGGACACUAAAUGUUUAUUUGGUGAGAUUCUUAGAACCUAUAUCUAUUUUGUAGAUCGAGUUUCCAAAGAGAGGGAGGUUCUUUGGCUCAUCCACCUGUACUAGAUGGGACGAAUUAUGCUUAUUGGAAGCAAAGGAUGGAAAUUUAUCUGACAACUAUUGAUAAACGAGUUUGGCAAUGCGUACUCACAGGAUAUACUCCACCUAUCAAAAUUGACGAAGAUGGUGUAGAAUCUCCCAAGCCAGUCAGAGAAUGUACUAAUGAUGAACUUGAUGCAUCUAGAUAUAAUGCAAAAAGACUUAAUGUCAUUGUUAAUGGAGUUGAUGUGUUUCAACACUAACUAAUUUCUACAUGCAAGACAUCUAAAACUGCUUGGGAUAUACUCUGAAGCACUUUUAAAGGCGACAAUACGAUUGAAACAGAGGCUUCCGUCACCAAAUCAAGUGAAGAUGAUGAUCCAUAUUUGUACAUGGAUAAUUCACUUGCACUCAUUGCAAAGAAUUUCAAGAAGAUGAUGAAAAAGAAGAACUUUAAUAAACCAAAGAAGACUUCUACAUCAGUGGCUCUUACGGCUCAAAAAUGUUCUUCUAAAUCUAAUUCAAAAUUGUUUGAUUUUAAUAAACUUGAGGGUAUUCGAUGUAGAGAAUAUGGAGGCAUAGGGCACAUACAAACACAACCUUGUUGGAGGACUUGUUGUCCAUAAUGAUGGCAGUAAACAUGAAUCUAACAUCAGAUAUGCAUCCAUAUCUAAAACUUCGCACUUAGCUCCUUGUAAAUAAGACACUGAUUCCCGUUUUGACACAACUAUGCAACAUGUUAACAAGAAUAAUGAUUCAGAUAGCGACGUCAGUGACAUUAAUAUAAAUUACAAGAAUUUUUUUUCAUGAAAAUGAGGUAAUUCAUUACAGUCUUUACUUAUUGACAAAGACGACAAUUACUUGCAGUGACCACAGAAUUAUAGAACACCAAAAAGUCACUCAAAAUGAUGAAUUCUGAAACUCAAAAGUUAAAUCAUAUCUUGUCAAUUAACAAGUCCAGCUCAGAUCAUCACGGUCUUGGAUAUCAAAAUGGUAAAGACUCAAAUUCUCAAGGUGUGUUUGUUAAAGCUUCUCAAGUUACAGCUUCUCCACCAAUAGUUAAAUUUUCAUAUCUUCAAAAAGGUAAAGUUAUUGCACAUUUUUCACCAGUUCAUCAAGGUAAGAACAACAUGUUUAUUCCCACUUGUCAUUUUUGUCAUGUGAAAGGGCAUAUAAGAUCUAAUUGCUUCAAACUCAUUAAAUAUAUAUAUAAAAAGGCUAUGUUCUUUAAUUAUUCUUAUGGAAAACCUAGGAUGUCGACGAGACAAGUGAAAAUAAACCUAGAACUACUUGGAUGAGGAAGACUGAUUAUAAAACUUAUGUUUCCUUUAUUUCCUUAAGAACUUGUACUACUGACUUUUGGUACUUUGAUAGUGGUUGUUCUAGACACAUGAGAGGUGAUAGAAGUGCCUUGAUCAAUUAUCAAAAAGUUGAUCUAGAAAAUGUAACUUUUACUGAUGGCGUGAAAGGUCGAGUGCUUGAAAAGGGAACUUUGAAUGUGGAAGGUUUUCCAAAACUUAACAAUGUUCUGCAUGUGGAGGAUCUCAAAGCAAAUCUACUCAGCAUUAGUCAAAUUUGUGAUAAAAACUUGUUUGUCAACUUUGACAGGAAUAAAUGUUGCAUUCUCGAUGUUGAUGGAAAUUACAUUUUGGAAGGACAUCGAUCAUCCGAUCAUUGUUACAAAUUGACUAGCUUAAUUAUUUGUCAUAAGACUCUUGAUGACAAAGAAUUAUGGCAUCAAAAGUUGGGUCACUUGAACUACAGAUUACUGACUAGAAUUGUAAAAACAGAUGAUGUAAAAGGAGUUCCAAUGCCUAAAAACAAACAACCUGGAAUAUGUGGUUCAUGUCAAUCUAGAAAACAACAAAGGGCGUCGCAUAAAGCCAUUCAGGAUAGAGCAACAUCAAAAGUGCUACAACUACUUUAUAUGGACCUUAUGAGACCAAUGCAAGUUGAAAGUUUAGAUGGAGAAAGGUACGCAUUUGUGUGUGUAGAUGAUUUCUCUCGGUAUAUAUGGGUUGACUUUAUUAAAGAAAAAUCAUAUACAUUUGAUGUGUUCAGAAAACUAUGUGAGAAGGUUAAAAAUGAAUAAAAUUGCAAUAUUGUCAGAAUUAGAAGUGAUCAUGGAAGAGAAUUUGAAAACUCCAAUUUUGAAGAAUAUUAUAAUUUACAUGGAAUUUCACAUGAGUUUUCCUCACCUAUUACUCCAUUACAGAAUGGUGUUGUAGAAAGGAAAAAUAGGACCUUGCAGGAAAUGGCACGAGUGAUGUUAAACUCAAAGAAACUUUCAAAGAGAUUAUAGGCUGAAGCACUUAAUACUGCUUGCUACACCAUUAAUCGUGUUUAUCUUCAUCUAGGUACUAAGAAACUCCUUAUAUGGAAAGGUAAAAAAAAUUUAAUCUAGGGUACUUUCAUAUUUUUUGGAGUAUGUGCUUUAUAUCGAAUGAUCGCGAACAUCUUGGUAAAUUUGAUUCAAAAAGUGAUGAGGGUGUUUUUCUUAGUUAUUCCAAUAAUAGCAAAACAUUUCGUGUUUAUAAUAUGAGAACUCAAAAUAUUGUUGAAUCUGCAAAUGUGGUUACUGGUGAUUAUCAAGAUUUUGUAGAUUACUUAAUUCAAAAAGAGAUAACCAGUCUUUUAGAAACACCAAAUAUUGUACAACUACUCCUGAAAUUCGAGUUAUUGAGAAAGGUCAAUCUAGUGAACCUUCUCUGAAAGAAAAAAAAAACCUGUUGAAGAAGAUGCCUCCAAGGAAACACCAGAGAAUGUGAAAGAGAAAGUUUCAAAACUUCAGGCAACUAUAGACCUACAGGACCCAAUUAGAAAUGAACCAUCAUCAAGAGUUAAGAAAAAUCACCCAUCUGAUCUUAUUCUAGGUAAUCUUUAUGAACAAAUGGUCACAAUGAAAAGGUAUGCAAAUAUAGUAAGAUUUACUUGCUUUGUAUCUUUUACUAAACCUAAAAAUGUUAAGAAAGCUUUAGUUAAUAAAUUUUGGGUCAAAACUAUGCAAGAAGAAUUAGAACAAUUUGAGCGAAAUAAUGUAUAGAUGCUAGUACCUAGACCAAUUCACACUAAUGCUAUAGGAACCAAAUGGAUUUUUAAGAACAAAACUGAUGAAUUUGGUAACAUGGUGAGAAAUAAAUCUAGGUUGGUUGCACAAGGCUACACGCAAAUUGAAGGUGUUGACUUUGAUGAAACCUUUGCACCUAUUGCUAGACUCGAAUAUAUUCGUUUUCUUUUUGCAGUUGCUUGUUUAAUAGACUUUAAAUUAUUUCAAAUAGAUGUCAAGAGUGCCUUUUUGAAUGGCAUCUUAAAUGAAAAAGCUUAUGUUGAACAACCUAAAAGUUUUAAAGACCCCCAUUUCCCAAACCAUGUUUUUAAAUUAAAAAGGCUUUGUAUGGUUUAAAGCAGGCUCCUCGAGCUUGGUAUGAAAUGUUGACUAAUUUUUUGCUUGAAAAUGGCUAUAAGUAAGAGGGAGUAGAUAAAACACUACUUAUUAAGCAACUUAAUCUAGGGAUUUUAGUUGUUCAAAUCUAUGUUGAUAUAAUGUUUGGUUCCAUUUCUUAUGAUCAUGUGCAAUAAUUUGUGAGUCAAAUGAAAAAGGAAUUUGAGAUGAGCAUGGUGAGAGAAUUGACUUACUUUUUGGGUUUGCAAGUGAAACAAAUGGAGAAUGAAAUUUUUGUUAAUCAAAGUAAGUAUGUCAAGAUUUUAGUUAAGAGGUUUGGCUUAGAUUCUACAAAACACGUGAGAACCCCUAUGAGUAAUAAUCCAAGUUGACUAUUGAUGAUACGGGUUCUAGUGUUGACCCUAGUCUAUAUAGAAGCAUGAUUGGUAGCUUACUUUAUUUGACUGCAAGUAGACCUGACAUAUGUUUCAGUGUUAGUGUAUGUGCUAUGUACCAAGCAAAUGUAAAGGAAUCACAUUUAGCUGCUGUCAAACGAAUCAUUUGUUUUGUCAGUGGAAUAGUUAAUGAUGGUAUUUGGUACACUAAUGACAAUAAUUCUAGUCUUGCAGGAUAUAAUGAUGCAGAUUGGGGUGGCAAUGCUGAUGAUAGAAAAAGCACCACUGGUGAAUGUUUUUAUCUUGGAAAUAACUUAGUGUCGUGGCAUAGUAAGAAACAUAAUUUAAUUUCUCUUUCCACGACUAAAGCUGAAUAUAUUGCAGCUGGAAAUUGUUGCACCCAAUUGCUCUGGAUGAAACAAAUGCUUGCAGAUUAUGGUAUGGUUCAGGAUACUUUGACUGUGUUUUGUGAUAACACGAGUGCUAUCAAUAUUUCUAGAAAAUUAUGUUCAACACUUUAGGACUAAGCAUAUUGAUAUUCGUCAUCACUUCAUUAGAGAUUUAGUUGAGAGCAAGACCGUAUCCUUAGAAUACAUUGAUACAGAAAAACAGCUUGCAGAUAUUUUCACAAAAGCUUUAGACUCCAAACGAUUUGAAUAUUUAAGGAAAUCUUUAGGGGUGUGGUCUGUGUAAGUCAAAACUUUUUUGCAUUUAAAUUUAAAUCAUGCAUUUGUGCAUUAGAUAUAUGACAUGCAUUUAUGAGUUUUUGUUUAAAUCAUUGUUUUUGUGUUUUGUUUAAAAAAAGUGAUUAAUAAUUGACAAGCAGUUUUUCAUGUUGUUAAAUAUUUGAAGGCCUUGAAUAAGUUUUGAUUAGAGUUAUUUAACAUUUCUUCAAAAGCAUAUGAAUGACAAUUUAGUCUUUACUUUGACUCAAGGUUUUGAUAUUGGCAUGGUCUUUGUUGAGAAUAUUUAACUUAAGUUAUAACUGUUUGCCUUGAUUCUUAUCUUGUCAUAAGACCUCUAAUAUAUACAGACACUAUGGUCAUAAAUAGCUACCUAUAACUCUUAAGAGUGAAGCUAUCUUUGAGUAAUUUGAGUUUGCGUAUCAUAAAUAUAACAGAGGACGAACUAUCAAAGAAGAAGGCUACCUUAAGGAGUAGAGUGAAAACUUCCGACCAUAGAUUUAAAAAAAAAAACUUUGCUACAAAAAAAAAGUCUGUCACAAUUGAAAUGAUAAAAAAGUAGAGAUCAAGAUGAUAAGGUUAGUUUGACGUAGAGAUCAAGAUGAUAAUGUUAGUUUGACCAGCUCUAUGUUUUGUAUUUAAGACUUUGACUGUGAAAAUUAAUGAAUUUUUGGGAAAAAAGUUUAGAUUGAGUUGUUUGCACACACAAUCUUAAAUUUCUCUAAUCUUUACUUAUUUGAGGAAAUUAGAGUUUGAUUUCAUGAAUUAAUGCUUGUUGUGAAAAAUUCCCAGACAUUUUUUUUUCAAUUUCAUUAUUAAUGCAUUUUUUUUAAAAAAAUAUUCAUGAUGCAUGUGCAUUCACAUGUUCUUACAUGAUGAUAUAUUUUUAGAUUUUAAGAGUUAGAUAUUUUUUAGCAAAACUCAAAGUUUUAUUUUCUAAGUGCAGUGAUAAGCUUUUGUCCGUCACAACUGAGUAUGUUGUGUUCUUUUGGUCAUAACAUUGUCUACAGAAAUCCAAAUUCAGUUCUGUAAAAUCCUGUGAAAAGUUGAUUCAAUAAGCUUUCCAACGGCAUGUAGAUCAUAUUCUGAUUCUAGUUUAUUCAUUCUCAGUUGAAUUUCGAAUUUCUCUGUUCUGCACUGUGUUUGUUUCGUAAAAUAUCAUGCAUAGCACUUCGUUUUUGUCAUUUUCCUUUAUGUUUCUGACAAGUUACAGCUUCUCCACCAAUAGUUAAAUUUUCAUAUCUUCAAAAAGGUAAAGUUAUUGCACAUUUUUCACCAGUUCAUCAAGGUAAGAACAACAUGUUUAUUCCCACUUGUCAUUUUUGUCAUGUGAAAGGGCAUAUAAGAUCUAAUUGCUUCAAACUCAUUAAAUAUAUAUAUAAAAAGGCUAUGUUCUUUAAUUAUUCUUAUGGAAAACCUAGGAUGUCGACGAGACAAGUGAAAAUAAACCUAGAACUACUUGGAUGAGGAAGACUGAUUAUAAAACUUAUGUUUCCUUUAUUUCCUUAAGAACUUGUACUACUGACUUUUGGUACUUUGAUAGUGGUUGUUCUAGACACAUGAGAGGUGAUAGAAGUGCCUUGAUCAAUUAUCAAAAAGUUGAUCUAGAAAAUGUAACUUUUACUGAUGGCGUGAAAGGUCGAGUGCUUGAAAAGGGAACUUUGAAUGUGGAAGGUUUUCCAAAACUUAACAAUGUUCUGCAUGUGGAGGAUCUCAAAGCAAAUCUACUCAGCAUUAGUCAAAUUUGUGAUAAAAACUUGUUUGUCAACUUUGACAGGAAUAAAUGUUGCAUUCUCGAUGUUGAUGGAAAUUACAUUUUGGAAGGACAUCGAUCAUCCGAUCAUUGUUACAAAUUGACUAGCUUAAUUAUUUGUCAUAAGACUCUUGAUGACAAAGAAUUAUGGCAUCAAAAGUUGGGUCACUUGAACUACAGAUUACUGACUAGAAUUGUAAAAACAGAUGAUGUAAAAGGAGUUCCAAUGCCUAAAAACAAACAACCUGGAAUAUGUGGUUCAUGUCAAUCUAGAAAACAACAAAGGGCGUCGCAUAAAGCCAUUCAGGAUAGAGCAACAUCAAAAGUGCUACAACUACUUUAUAUGGACCUUAUGAGACCAAUGCAAGUUGAAAGUUUAGAUGGAGAAAGGUACGCAUUUGUGUGUGUAGAUGAUUUCUCUCGGUAUAUAUGGGUUGACUUUAUUAAAGAAAAAUCAUAUACAUUUGAUGUGUUCAGAAAACUAUGUGAGAAGGUUAAAAAUGAAUAAAAUUGCAAUAUUGUCAGAAUUAGAAGUGAUCAUGGAAGAGAAUUUGAAAACUCCAAUUUUGAAGAAUAUUAUAAUUUACAUGGAAUUUCACAUGAGUUUUCCUCACCUAUUACUCCAUUACAGAAUGGUGUUGUAGAAAGGAAAAAUAGGACCUUGCAGGAAAUGGCACGAGUGAUGUUAAACUCAAAGAAACUUUCAAAGAGAUUAUAGGCUGAAGCACUUAAUACUGCUUGCUACACCAUUAAUCGUGUUUAUCUUCAUCUAGGUACUAAGAAACUCCUUAUAUGGAAAGGUAAAAAAAAUUUAAUCUAGGGUACUUUCAUAUUUUUUGGAGUAUGUGCUUUAUAUCGAAUGAUCGCGAACAUCUUGGUAAAUUUGAUUCAAAAAGUGAUGAGGGUGUUUUUCUUAGUUAUUCCAAUAAUAGCAAAACAUUUCGUGUUUAUAAUAUGAGAACUCAAAAUAUUGUUGAAUCUGCAAAUGUGGUUACUGGUGAUUAUCAAGAUUUUGUAGAUUACUUAAUUCAAAAAGAGAUAACCAGUCUUUUAGAAACACCAAAUAUUGUACAACUACUCCUGAAAUUCGAGUUAUUGAGAAAGGUCAAUCUAGUGAACCUUCUCUGAAAGAAAAAAAAAACCUGUUGAAGAAGAUGCCUCCAAGGAAACACCAGAGAAUGUGAAAGAGAAAGUUUCAAAACUUCAGGCAACUAUAGACCUACAGGACCCAAUUAGAAAUGAACCAUCAUCAAGAGUUAAGAAAAAUCACCCAUCUGAUCUUAUUCUAGGUAAUCUUUAUGAACAAAUGGUCACAAUGAAAAGGUAUGCAAAUAUAGUAAGAUUUACUUGCUUUGUAUCUUUUACUAAACCUAAAAAUGUUAAGAAAGCUUUAGUUAAUAAAUUUUGGGUCAAAACUAUGCAAGAAGAAUUAGAACAAUUUGAGCGAAAUAAUGUAUAGAUGCUAGUACCUAGACCAAUUCACACUAAUGCUAUAGGAACCAAAUGGAUUUUUAAGAACAAAACUGAUGAAUUUGGUAACAUGGUGAGAAAUAAAUCUAGGUUGGUUGCACAAGGCUACACGCAAAUUGAAGGUGUUGACUUUGAUGAAACCUUUGCACCUAUUGCUAGACUCGAAUAUAUUCGUUUUCUUUUUGCAGUUGCUUGUUUAAUAGACUUUAAAUUAUUUCAAAUAGAUGUCAAGAGUGCCUUUUUGAAUGGCAUCUUAAAUGAAAAAGCUUAUGUUGAACAACCUAAAAGUUUUAAAGACCCCCAUUUCCCAAACCAUGUUUUUAAAUUAAAAAGGCUUUGUAUGGUUUAAAGCAGGCUCCUCGAGCUUGGUAUGAAAUGUUGACUAAUUUUUUGCUUGAAAAUGGCUAUAAGUAAGAGGGAGUAGAUAAAACACUACUUAUUAAGCAACUUAAUCUAGGGAUUUUAGUUGUUCAAAUCUAUGUUGAUAUAAUGUUUGGUUCCAUUUCUUAUGAUCAUGUGCAAUAAUUUGUGAGUCAAAUGAAAAAGGAAUUUGAGAUGAGCAUGGUGAGAGAAUUGACUUACUUUUUGGGUUUGCAAGUGAAACAAAUGGAGAAUGAAAUUUUUGUUAAUCAAAGUAAGUAUGUCAAGAUUUUAGUUAAGAGGUUUGGCUUAGAUUCUACAAAACACGUGAGAACCCCUAUGAGUAAUAAUCCAAGUUGACUAUUGAUGAUACGGGUUCUAGUGUUGACCCUAGUCUAUAUAGAAGCAUGAUUGGUAGCUUACUUUAUUUGACUGCAAGUAGACCUGACAUAUGUUUCAGUGUUAGUGUAUGUGCUAUGUACCAAGCAAAUGUAAAGGAAUCACAUUUAGCUGCUGUCAAACGAAUCAUUUGUUUUGUCAGUGGAAUAGUUAAUGAUGGUAUUUGGUACACUAAUGACAAUAAUUCUAGUCUUGCAGGAUAUAAUGAUGCAGAUUGGGGUGGCAAUGCUGAUGAUAGAAAAAGCCUGCUGUACGGCCAAGGCGGAUGUACGGUACAGCAGGAAAUUUUUGUUAAUCAAAGUAAGUAUGUCAAGAUUUUAGUUAAGAGGUUUGGCUUAGAUUCUACAAAACACGUGAGAACCCCUAUGAGUAAUAAUCCAAGUUGACUAUUGAUGAUACGGGUUCUAGUGUUGACCCUAGUCUAUAUAGAAGCAUGAUUGGUAGCUUACUUUAUUUGACUGCAAGUAGACCUGACAUAUGUUUCAGUGUUAGUGUAUGUGCUAUGUACCAAGCAAAUGUAAAGGAAUCACAUUUAGCUGCUGUCAAACGAAUCAUUUGUUUUGUCAGUGGAAUAGUUAAUGAUGGUAUUUGGUACACUAAUGACAAUAAUUCUAGUCUUGCAGGAUAUAAUGAUGCAGAUUGGGGUGGCAAUGCUGAUGAUAGAAAAAGCACCACUGGUGAAUGUUUUUAUCUUGGAAAUAACUUAGUGUCGUGGCAUAGUAAGAAACAUAAUUUAAUUUCUCUUUCCACGACUAAAGCUGAAUAUAUUGCAGCUGGAAAUUGUUGCACCCAAUUGCUCUGGAUGAAACAAAUGCUUGCAGAUUAUGGUAUGGUUCAGGAUACUUUGACUGUGUUUUGUGAUAACACGAGUGCUAUCAAUAUUUCUAGAAAAUUAUGUUCAACACUUUAGGACUAAGCAUAUUGAUAUUCGUCAUCACUUCAUUAGAGAUUUAGUUGAGAGCAAGACCGUAUCCUUAGAAUACAUUGAUACAGAAAAACAGCUUGCAGAUAUUUUCACAAAAGCUUUAGACUCCAAACGAUUUGAAUAUUUAAGGAAAUCUUUAGGGGUGUGGUCUGUGUAAGUCAAAACUUUUUUGCAUUUAAAUUUAAAUCAUGCAUUUGUGCAUUAGAUAUAUGACAUGCAUUUAUGAGUUUUUGUUUAAAUCAUUGUUUUUGUGUUUUGUUUAAAAAAAGUGAUUAAUAAUUGACAAGCAGUUUUUCAUGUUGUUAAAUAUUUGAAGGCCUUGAAUAAGUUUUGAUUAGAGUUAUUUAACAUUUCUUCAAAAGCAUAUGAAUGACAAUUUAGUCUUUACUUUGACUCAAGGUUUUGAUAUUGGCAUGGUCUUUGUUGAGAAUAUUUAACUUAAGUUAUAACUGUUUGCCUUGAUUCUUAUCUUGUCAUAAGACCUCUAAUAUAUACAGACACUAUGGUCAUAAAUAGCUACCUAUAACUCUUAAGAGUGAAGCUAUCUUUGAGUAAUUUGAGUUUGCGUAUCAUAAAUAUAACAGAGGACGAACUAUCAAAGAAGAAGGCUACCUUAAGGAGUAGAGUGAAAACUUCCGACCAUAGAUUUAAAAAAAAAAACUUUGCUACAAAAAAAAAGUCUGUCACAAUUGAAAUGAUAAAAAAGUAGAGAUCAAGAUGAUAAGGUUAGUUUGACGUAGAGAUCAAGAUGAUAAUGUUAGUUUGACCAGCUCUAUGUUUUGUAUUUAAGACUUUGACUGUGAAAAUUAAUGAAUUUUUGGGAAAAAAGUUUAGAUUGAGUUGUUUGCACACACAAUCUUAAAUUUCUCUAAUCUUUACUUAUUUGAGGAAAUUAGAGUUUGAUUUCAUGAAUUAAUGCUUGUUGUGAAAAAUUCCCAGACAUUUUUUUUUCAAUUUCAUUAUUAAUGCAUUUUUUUUAAAAAAAUAUUCAUGAUGCAUGUGCAUUCACAUGUUCUUACAUGAUGAUAUAUUUUUAGAUUUUAAGAGUUAGAUAUUUUUUAGCAAAACUCAAAGUUUUAUUUUCUAAGUGCAGUGAUAAGCUUUUGUCCGUCACAACUGAGUAUGUUGUGUUCUUUUGGUCAUAACAUUGUCUACAGAAAUCCAAAUUCAGUUCUGUAAAAUCCUGUGAAAAGUUGAUUCAAUAAGCUUUCCAACGGCAUGUAGAUCAUAUUCUGAUUCUAGUUUAUUCAUUCUCAGUUGAAUUUCGAAUUUCUCUGUUCUGCACUGUGUUUGUUUCGUAAAAUAUCAUGCAUAGCACUUCGUUUUUGUCAUUUUCCUUUAUGUUUCUGACUUAUUUGCAUUGGAUUAUGUUUCUUUAUUCCUCUUCUAUGAAAUUUAUGUUUGUGGGUGCUCCAGAUUCUUCCAUUUUGCAAUCUUUUGGCAAAAGAGGGGAGUAAUUUGUUUCAAGUCUUCAAUUGCUCAAUGUAAUGAGUUAGGGGGAGUAGUAUUUUCAAUUCUAAGGGGAGUUUUUAUUUUUGCUCAAGAAUUUUUAGAUUUUAGGAUUUCUAGUUCUUAUGGGGAGUUUAUCUUUUUAUUGCUUUUAAUUUUCUGCUUAAUGUUGUCUUUCUAUUUAUUGAUCAAUAAAAUUAGCAUUUUAUUUUAAUUCUUGCCUUGGUUUAUUUACAUGAACUAACAUGCUAAUUGCCAAUUAUUUUGAUUAGUUCCUUAUUGUUGUUUAUGCCUGAUUCAUAUUCAUAUCUUAGCGCCAAGAUUCAUGGAAGACUUGUGUUGGAUUGUUUUUGCCAUAACAAUGCCAAAGGGGGACAUUGUUAAGUCCAUUAUUUAUAAAGUUGGCAUCUUAUGGCAAGUCUAAUUAAAUUAGAAUUUAUUUAUUGCAUAUCUUGUAAUAUGGAUUAAUUUAUUAAUUCCCUAAUUUAGUGAGAUUCCAAUUUAUCAUGGAUAUUUUUUUUCUAAUUUAGUUAGAUGUCUAAUUUAGAAAGUCUAUUAGUGAUGAGAUUCUAUAAUUGGCGCAUGAGAUCUAUUUAGAGCAAGAAGUUGAUUCAAACAGGAAGUUCAUUAAAUGCUCUAGAUAUUUCUUGGGAGACAAGAAAGGCAAGAUCAUAUUUAUUCAUAUUCAGAUUCAUGGGAAUUAUAAGAGGAAAUAGACUCUUAUUUGGAAAGAAUCCAAGUCUUUUGAGAUUUGAUUUUCGUGAAACCGUAGUGCCUAUAUAAAGAGAGGUAUUCCACAAUUGAAGGCACGCACAACACAGAGCAUAAAGCAGAGAAGCAAAAUUCGACCUCCUCCUUAGAGAAUCUAGAUUUGGCGCAUAAUGUUGUGUUGAUUUAUUUAUUUAUCUUCUUUUCAUCUCUAUGGAGAGUUUAUGUGGAUCUUGAAUCAUUAGAUAUUGAAGAAUUGAAGAAUUGCUAUUGAUCACUUUGCGAAGUGCCUUGAGGAUCGUGGAUCAAAAGGGGCAGCAAUUAUUCAAGAGAAGCAGAUUCAGUCUAAGGUUAAGUAAAUUGUAUGGUGAUAAACUGUAAGUGAGAGUCUUAAAUUUGGUAAAUUCAUAGGUUGUAACAUCUCAACUUGGUGAAUUACUUUUCAUCUGUGUGUGGCCUCAUGGAUGUAGGAUUGAUUAAUCCGAACCACAUAAAAAUCUUCAUGUCAUUUAUUUUCUGCAAUUUAUUGUGUUUUUGGAAAAUUAAUAUUUUUAUGCGGAUGAACAGUAAUCGUAAACAAUAACCGUGGACAAAAUUUCUAAAAAUUAAUUAAGUUGUUAAUUUUUUAUUUUUAAUUGCCUACAUCUAUAUGCGAUAGAUUUAAAUUCGUUUCAAAUGGAGAGCAAAGUGAGCAAAAUUUGGAAAAGCACAAAAGUCAAUUGACAUGUUUAUUUGGAGAAAUCUUUAAAUUAUCGAAGUGUCACUAACAAAUUCAAGAAGAAAAUGAAGUAUGGCUACUUUCGAGUUUCAAAAAAAGUUUAUGUAAAGUGCUACACACUCGCACUGCAUGAUCAAUUGUUGUUUCACUAUAAAUUUCAUCCUGCAGACUAUUAACAUGAAUAUGUUAAUAAUAUUGAUUUUGAUGAUAACAAAUUUUAAAUGGUUUUUGAUAAAAAUAUUGGAGCUAUUUCUUAAUAAACGAAAGCCUUAAUAAUCAUUCCAUUCAUUCUUCAUAAAAGAUGGACUUUCAAAUUAGAAAAAAAUUCUCUGCAAAAACUAGUUUAAAAUGCAAUUCUUGUUAUAAACGGUGAAUCGUUUAUAUAAACGGUUAACCGAUAACAUCCAGAGAGCAACAUAUUGCCUAAAGCUCUAACCGUUUAUGAAAAACGGAAAACACAAAAGAUGGGAUGGCUACUGGAACUUAACGGUGAACCGUUUAUUUCAACGGUUAACCGAUAACGUCCAGAAUUGAAGGUUGUCAUCCUCUGGCACUGAUUAACAAAACUUGAUAAGGCUAAAUUAUUUUGCAGGUUACUGGAGCCAAACGGCUAACCGUUUAUUGCAAACGGUUAACCGAUAAUAUCUAGAGAAGCCACUUCACGCAAGUCUUUAACCGUUUAGUGUAAACGGAUAACUAAUGUUCAUCUUGCAGGUCUCUGGAAUUUAACGGCGAAAGGUUAAUCCUAAACAGCAAACCGUUUAUUUGAAAACUGGCCCAACGGUAACUUUGACCAACCGAAACGGUUAACCGUUUAGGGUUAACGGCGAACCGUUUUCUGUCCGACAGUUUGUAACGACUAGAUUUUCAGCUCCAGAUAUAAAUAAGCUCAUUCAAAUUCAAAGAAGGUGGAUCACAACACUACCACUGAGCUUAUAUCCGAGAAUACAAUCUUCAUAGAGCUUUAAAACACAUUCUCUCUUCAUCUAUUCACAUAUUGGGCAUUGAUUUGUAAUCUUAAAUAUUGUGUGAGAGAAAAACAAUUUGCAAUCUUUUACUUUGAGUGAUUGUAAGUGUUGGGAUACACUUGGGUUAAGAGAUUGGGGAUAAUCUCUUGUUGUAAAGGUCCAUUGACACCUUGGAAGUCAAUUGUAAGCGUUUGAAGCCUUGGGUGGCUAGCUUAGUGAAAUCCUCAAGCCCGAUGAGCUUGGAGGCGUGGACGUAGGCGGGGAUUGCCGAACCACAUAAAAAUCAUUGUAUUUGCUCUCUCUUCCCUUAUCUUUUUAUAUUGUGAUUGAUUUAUCUGUCAAUGCUUUAAAUUUGUGUUGGAUUUGAAUUGAGUGUUGCUUUAGAAUUAAAUAAUUUUUAAUAUCCCAAUUCACCCCCCCUUUUGGGUUUCUGCUGUACGACCAAGGCGGAUGUUGGAUUUGAAUUGAGUGUUGCUUUAGAAUUAAAUAAUUUUUAAUAUCCCAAUUCACCCCCCCUUUUGGGUUUGCCUAGUUAGUAUUUCACAGACAACUUUGUUUUUAGUAAACUCGAGGAAGAAUUUUUUUUUUUUUGGAAGAAAAGACUGUUGUAUGCUAUUGAUUAUAUUUUACAUACUAAAUAAACUGCUCAGAUGACAGCAUAACAAUCUUUCCCUGGCUUCCCAAGAGCCACAACAAGCAUUUGAUUCAGUCAACAUAAGUGAUUCAUGUGCUUGGCACAUAUAGGGACUUAAAUGAACAAGUUGAAAACUUGCUUCAUACCAAAUUAAAUAAAAUUGAAUAGGGAUGGCAAUGGGCACCGCCAACUGUGGGUUUGCCAUUAGUAAACCCGCACCUGCAAAAAAUUUCCAAAUCCGCCCGCAAUUCGCAGCGGAUCUUUUGUGGGUUUUCUCAUUUAAAAUCACGAAUAUAAAAAAAUACUUUUAAUAAUACAUAAAAACUUAAAUUAAAUAAUUCAAACUGUGAAUAAAUAAUAAUAACCUAAAAAAUCUACAAAAAAAUUCAAUUCUAGAUUUUAUCAAUGUAAAUAAGAAAUUAAAAUUUUAACAUUAAAAAAUACAAAAAAUAUAUUAAUCUAACACAAUUUUUCUAUUGUAGGCAAAUCAACAUCACUAAUAUCAAUGCUUGCUUCAUCUUUUAAUCAAUAUACGAGUAUUAUCAAUAAUAUUAACAAGUAGAUUUUAUACAAUUAUCUUUAAAGAAAAACAAACAAAAUCAAUUAAAUUAAAAUAAAAUAUUAGUAAUAAAAAUUAUAAAAUUUAUACUUAGUAAAAGUUUAUUGUAUAUAUGUUGUAGUGAGAUAAGUUAGGUUUAGGAAUUAUAAAGGGAUAUUAUCAUUUUAACACCAAAGUUAUUCUGACAUAUCAUGUCAGUACCACGGUUUGGCGAAAAGAGCAAUUUACCACCAAACGUUUGUACCAUUAUCAAUUUAUCACCAUUCUGUUAAAAAAGUAAAAAAUUUGCUGAUGUUUUGCUGAUGUCAUAAGGGCAUCAAAGACAUUUCCUAUUGAAGCCAAAACACUCCAUUGCAAGUGUAAAAUAAACAAUAAAACAAAGUAAAAAAAAUUCAAGGGAAAUAAUUAGAGAAUUAGGAAAUUGAUAACCCUAAAAUUAGCCCUCUCUCUCAUUAAUUUUUUCCUUUAAUUAAAUUGUUAUUGUUUUUAUUUGUGAUUAAUACUUGAAUUUCAUAGAUUAUAAUAUUAAUUUUGAAGCAGAAUUUUUUAUUAUUAUUUUUGUUGUUUGUCAUAAUUUUGCAUAUUCUUCAUUAUUUUUAUUAAUUAGAAAUUUCAGUUGUUUUCUAAAUCUUAUUAAUUGUUAUUGUUAUUGUAAAUUGUUAUUAUUUUUAGUUGUGAUUAAUACUUGAAUUUCAUAUGUUAUAAUAUUAAUUUUGAAUCAUAAAUUUUUAUUAAUUGUUCUUUGCCGUUUAUUGUCAGUCUACAUAUUAUUCAUUAUUUUUUAUUAAUUACAAUUUUUACUUGUUUUCUAAAUCUUAUUUUUGUUCAUUAUUUCUUUCUUCUCAAAGGGUAAAAUUAUCUUUUAUUCUCUUGGGGGUAAAAUCGAUUUUUAACUCAUUUUCUGUUAUUGUUAACGGAAUGAUGGUAAAUUGAUAACGGCAAAAACGUUUGGUGCUAAAAUGCUCUUUUCACCAAACCGUGGUACUGACAUGAUAUGUCAGAAUAAGUUUGGUGGUAAAAUGAUAAUAUCCCAAUUAUAAACUUUAACUUUAAAUAUAUUCAUGAUUAAAAUUUUUAAUGUAAUUUUUGUGAUUAAAAUAAAAAAUAUAAAUAAUUAAAAUAAAGAAUACGGGGUGGUGGAUACCUGCGCUAGUACCCAACGGAUUUUUUCUCAAUACCAAACUCACCCGCAACCCACAGUGAAUUUAAAUUUGAAAUACCAACCCACCUGCAACGAACAAAAUUACUCAUAGCGAGCGGGUUUUUGUGGGUGGGUUUGGGCAGAUUUGUAGGUUGGUGGUUAUUUUGCCAUACCUAAAACUGAAACGCUAAAUCCCAAAUUGCAACCGUUUUUGCUAUGGUUGUUAAUUCACAAAUAACAGUUAUGUAUAGUGUAGUGAGCAAACUAAUUUAAUUCUGUUGGAUCCAUUCAAUCCAAUUGCAUAAUUUUAGAGGUCAUUGAAGUUGUCAAAUUUUACUCCGAAUAUGUCAUUUGGAAAAUUAUAAUUUAUGAUAUUAUGUAUUAGGGUUCGAUCAUUAUUGGUGCCGGUAAAAUUACCUCGUAUACUAUAUAUGAGCCUUAUUUAGUAUUAAGGUGCUAUAAUUUUUAAUUUACAAAUAUUGUGAGAAAAAACUAUAAGUAUGAAAUAAAAAUUAAUAAUAUGUAAUAAUUAUAAUUUUUGAAUAAUAAUUUUGACAAAAUUAUUAAAGAUAUAGUAAAUUUUUCAUAACACAAUCGUAAAAUCAAAUUAAUUUUGCUUCCAAGUUACAAAAACGGAUAUUUACCAAAUACUUUAGUACUCAACCUCAAUUCCAAAUAAGACUUUGAUUUUUUUAACAAGUUACAGUGAGAUCUGAAGACCAACAAAAAAAAAAAUGUGAGAAUUGAAUUUUCAUAUAUAAAAUAUUUCAGUUGAAGUUAGUUUUAGAUAAGGGUGGCAAAACAAAUAAAUGAAUCGAAUUUGAAUUGAAUUGUUAACGAAUAGGGUCAAAAUUAUACUAAUUCGAAUUCGAUUCGUUUAUUAAACGAAUAUUUAGUUUGAUUCAUUUAAUUCGUUUAGUAGAAUUAAUAAACGAAUCGAACUGAAUUUGGAUUCAUUUAUUAUGUGUUUAUCCUAUAAUGAAUCCAUAACAAUUUUGGAUUCGUUUAUUAUUCGUUUACAAAAUAUAAUUUGUUGAUGCUGAAAUCUGCUCGCCCUUGGACCGACCAGAUUCUUUCACCAACGUUUGUAUUAUCGACUGUUUGUUCGAACCACUAAGGCUGGUAUCACCCUCCUUUCUCUUACUAGACCUGCGUUCACAAAAUUGGGUCAGAGACGCCGGUGGUUUUGCCGGCGUAAACCCUCGGAUGCCUAAGUUAGCACAAGGUAUUUACGGGAAAACAAUAUAAUUUGGAUUCAAGAAGUUUGUUAGAAAUUUGUAAGGAAAUGAUCUGGUUGCAAUUUGGCAGCGUUUUCCCUCUCUUAGUUUUUCUAUCCCCUUUUUUAUCGAUUUCUUCCUCUUUUAUAGCCGCUGUCCCCACGUUCCCAUUUGCCCUUCAUCCCACCUUUUUCGAGGAUCGUGUUCCCGCUUCUUUGGGGAUGAGUGCCGGCUCGGUAUAUACCUCUGGUCUGUAUGUUUCCCUGGUUGUAUUCAUCUCUGGUCGGCUCAUGUUAGCCCACGUGUUCUGCUCAUAUCACUUUGGUUGAAGCGAUCCGUGCCGAGGCGGAAAUAGUAGCAUGGCCGACCUGGUGCUUUUAUGUACUCAACACCAGUCCCCCAAUUUCUGGUCUGGCGAGUGAAAUGAGUGAAGAGUAGAAACUGAUGGUCAAAUCUCACCAACCCGGGGAGCUUUUCAUCUGGUCUUUUGUUUGCUGGGGCGGACCUGAGGUACCAUUUUUCUUUUGGGGAGAUUCCGACCUGAGUAUGGGCCUAAAUGAGCAUGUCUAUUGCAUAUCUGGGCUUACGUCUAUCUUGGCCCCUUGUAACGGUUGGUGAUGUGGCACCUCCAGAUUCUUCAUAUUUGAAAUUUGAAACGACGGGCUAUCUGUCCUCGAUAUUUGGUGAGUGAGCUGGCAUCCCCAUCACUUAAAUGCUCUCAUUUCCCCUUUUUCGUUUCAAAUCCCUAGACUUAUAUUGUCAUUGUUUUGUUAUUCGUCUCUCCGUCGUUAACCUCCCCCCUUUCUGAACUUUACUCACAUUCCCUGGGUCCGGAGUUUCUACUUGCUGUUUUUUCUCUGUCACGGCAGCGCUAUCAGGGCCAAUUCAUUUCAGGUAUUGUUUUUAAUCCCUUCUCUGGUUGUUGUUGAUUGGGUUUCAUGUUGCCCCAUUUUGUAUCCGUAUAUUCGAGUUUUCCUUGUUUUCUUUUGGGAUUCCGAUAUGUCAAACCGGAAAAAAAAGUUAAUUGUUGAUGAGAGUGAUGAAGAAUCAGGGGAUUCAUGCCUCAACGUGUCAAUACCCACAGAUUUCUUAGGCCCCUCCAGUAGCGUAGGUCCUUCCCAUGGCAAGGGUACCCUCUAGUACCCACGACCCUUGGUUGUCUCUCCCUCCCCCGAACUAGAGCUUGUAGGGAAUAGAGGUGGACCUGCGUCGGGCUCUGGUGAGAACCACAGCUUUAGUGGGGUUGGGAUCCCUGAGGGAGCUGGUGAUGGUGAGGGGAGUAGUUCCGGACCGAGCGGACCUGCUAAGAAAAGGCAUAUUGGCCAUAGGGUGGAGGCUGAUUCCUAUCCUAUUGAUUUCAUAGCUUGUGCCACCACCCCCACUGAUCUAUUUAAGCUUAGGAACCUCUACAACAUCCCCAACGAUGUUCUUCUUGUAGUUCCUGGAAAAGGUGAUGUCCCUAGUCGGCCUCCGAAAGGGCAUGUGACGAUGCAUUUGGAGAGUUUUAGACUAGGAGCUCAGCUGCCCCUUCAACGUUAUUUUGCCAAGAUACUGGGCAGUAUGCACCUGGCCCCAGGUCAGCUACACCCAAAUGGCUGGAGGGUUCUCUCGGCAAUGUUUGUGUUGUGGGAGAGGUACGGGUCGGAGGAGCCUUCCCUUGUUGAAGUGAAACACCUGUACCCGCUACGGAGUAGCCCGAAGGAAGCGGGCUGGUACUACUUAUGUCCAGUUCUGCAAAGAGGAAACCGAUCACUGGGUUUUCCUCUUCAUGUAAAAAUUGGAAGAACAAAUUCUUCUUUGCCGGGGGGAACUGGUGUCCAGCAGUUCGGUCGCUUGGUGGGGACAUUUAUCUUCCCACACAUUUUGUCACCCGAGGUCGUUCAUUUUUGCCUAUGCUCUUACUCAAAUUGUCACUUAUCGAGUUCUUUAACCUCUUUUACUAUUUCAGAGUCGUGGGGUUUGAUCGGGGGGCUUGAAGAUCGACCUUUGCUUCAGGUGGAAACUACACUGUUGAACGCGUCUACCUACCAGGACCUCCUGUCACCAACAAGUCUGGUCGGUUCGGGCCUAGUAGACCUAGCCGCUGGAAUGGAUAACACGAUCCUCAGCGCGAUGAGCAGGAAGCGUGGUCGGGCUCCAAGCAGCUCCAGCAACCCCCCUCCUCCUCCAAAGAAAACCAGUGUCGGCCCUUCCAAGGCUCCUGUCCCUGCUCUGCCCCCUCAUCCACCCCGUAAGAGUGGCGAGGAGAAAACUUCUGACAAAAGUCCUGAGGUCAGCUACCCGUCUGGGGACCGAUCUUCUCCUCUACCAUCUCGGGAUCAAGCGGACUACCUGAGCCCGUAUCAGAAGGAUUACAAAAAAGCGGUGGGGCCUAAGAUGGUGAAGGACAUCGAGAGUAUGAACCUCUCCGAAUUAGCUGCUUCUGUUCAGAGAGUGUCCUUCAGGUUGGCCACCAUGGUUUCGUGCUACAAGAUUGGGUCCGCGCGCCAUGAGAAGAAGAAUAGAGGUGGACCUGCGUCGGGCUCUGGUGAGAACCACAGCUUUAGUGGGGUUGGGAUCCCUGAGGGAGCUGGUGAUGGUGAGGGGAGUAGUUCCGGACCGAGCGGACCUGCUAAGAAAAGGCAUAUUGGCCAUAGGGUGGAGGCUGAUUCCUAUCCUAUUGAUUUCAUAGCUUGUGCCACCACCCCCACUGAUCUAUUUAAGCUUAGGAACCUCUACAACAUCCCCAACGAUGUUCUUCUUGUAGUUCCUGGAAAAGGUGAUGUCCCUAGUCGGCCUCCGAAAGGGCAUGUGACGAUGCAUUUGGAGAGUUUUAGACUAGGAGCUCAGCUGCCCCUUCAACGUUAUUUUGCCAAGAUACUGGGCAGUAUGCACCUGGCCCCAGGUCAGCUACACCCAAAUGGCUGGAGGGUUCUCUCGGCAAUGUUUGUGUUGUGGGAGAGGUACGGGUCGGAGGAGCCUUCCCUUGUUGAAGUGAAACACCUGUACCCGCUACGGAGUAGCCCGAAGGAAGCGGGCUGGUACUACUUAUGUCCAGUUCUGCAAAGAGGAAACCGAUCACUGGGUUUUCCUCUUCAUGUAAAAAUUGGAAGAACAAAUUCUUCUUUGCCGGGGGGAACUGGUGUCCAGCAGUUCGGUCGCUUGGUGGGGACAUUUAUCUUCCCACACAUUUUGUCACCCGAGGUCGUUCAUUUUUGCCUAUGCUCUUACUCAAAUUGUCACUUAUCGAGUUCUUUAACCUCUUUUACUAUUUCAGAGUCGUGGGGUUUGAUCGGGGGGCUUGAAGAUCGACCUUUGCUUCAGGUGGAAACUACACUGUUGAACGCGUCUACCUACCAGGACCUCCUGUCACCAACAAGUCUGGUCGGUUCGGGCCUAGUAGACCUAGCCGCUGGAAUGGAUAACACGAUCCUCAGCGCGAUGAGCAGGAAGCGUGGUCGGGCUCCAAGCAGCUCCAGCAACCCCCCUCCUCCUCCAAAGAAAACCAGUGUCGGCCCUUCCAAGGCUCCUGUCCCUGCUCUGCCCCCUCAUCCACCCCGUAAGAGUGGCGAGGAGAAAACUUCUGACAAAAGUCCUGAGGUCAGCUACCCGUCUGGGGACCGAUCUUCUCCUCUACCAUCUCGGGAUCAAGCGGACUACCUGAGCCCGUAUCAGAAGGAUUACAAGAGAUCGGUGGGGCCCAAGAUAGUGAAGGACAUCGAGAGUAUGAACUUCUCCGAGCUAGCUGCUUCUGUUCAGAGAGUGUCCUUCAGGGUGGCCACCAUGGUUUCGUGCUACAAGAUUAGGUCCGCGCGCCAUGAGAGGAAGCUCCAGGCUGACAACCAGGAAUUGAAGAAGAAAGCUGACUCUACUGAUCGCUCCAAGGAGAAGCUGGCUGAGCUGAAUAAGCAGAUCACGGAGCUAGAGGAGAAAGUUGCGGUUGCUGAAUCCACUUCCUCCAAACUUGAGGGCGAGUUGGGUGACCUGAGAUCUGAUCUUCAGGUUACUCAAACUGAAAGGGAUACUUUGAGGGCCGCCCUUGAGGGGGAAAUAAAAUCCUUGGGUGAGCAGCUGGCUGAGGAGAAAGGCAAAUCCGCUGAUGUGGAUGAUCGGCUAGAUGCCGAGUAUGAUUCUGGGGUUGCCUUCUCCUACAAGUGCAUCAUGUCUGUGCUUAAGACAGAAUAUCCCGAGAUGGACAUGAGCAAGCUGGAGGCCGGAGUGCAGCGGUAUAUGGCAGAGGUCGACCAAGCAGAUAAGGAGCAGGGUGAGCAGGACCAGGUGGAGGCUCCUUUGGAUGGGGUGCAGGAGGGAGAAGCUGGGCAGCGUGUUUUUGAAGUGGGACAGGAGUCCGUGCCUCCUCCCUCCGAUAUUGCCGACCUUCUACCUCCCGAGAUAGCUGACCCUUCACCUGCUGAGGCCGUUGAUCCUCCUAAUCCUUAAGUCUAUUUUUGUAAAGACUCUAGUUUUUCACUUGCUUUGUAAACAUUUGAACGUUUAUAAAAAAAUUAUUUGAAUGCUCUAUAUUGGCUUUCUUUUCUGGUUUUGCCUGUUGGUUCUUUAGUGCAUCGAACAAGAAUAGGCAUCUAUUUGCCUUAGUAAAAUUUUCGCAAAAUCGCCUGCUGGUCUUCGGUGACCGAGCAGGAGCAGACACUUACUUGCCUUAGUAAAAGUUCGUAAAUUUAGCUGCUGGUUUUUCGUUGACCGAGCAUAAGUAGGCACUUUGUUGCCUUAGUAACCCAAGCUCCUUUCUUCUCUCCCAGUCUAGUCUUCAGGAGUUUCUUUACCAUUUUAUUGGCUGCUUCCACUUGUCCGUUUGCCUGGGGGUGUGCGAGGGUGCAGAACUUCAGAUCCACCCCUAGGUUUCGGCAAAACUCUCUGAAGUUGUUGUUGUCAAACUGCCUCCCAUUAUCGGUGAUGAUGGUAUAAGGGAUUCCGUAUCUGCAGAUGAUAUUCUUCCAGAUAAAAUCCGUUGUCUUUCUCUCCGUGAUUUGGCUAAGGACCCCCACCUCUAUCCACUUGGUGAAGUAGUCUACUGCUACAAUUGCAUGGGUUGCCGCUCCUCGGCCUUUCGGUAACGGACCAAUCAGGUUGAUUCCCCAUUGUGCAAAAGGCCAUGGGGAUGUCAUAGUGGUCAGCUUUUCUGGGGGUUGUGUGGGGACCUCAGAGAAGCUUUGGCACGUUUUACAGUUUUUUGCCAUCUUUUUUGCAUCCUGGUGCAUGGUUGGCCAGAAGUACUCUUGACGGAGUGCCUUGAAGGCUAAAGUUCUUGCUCCCGAGUGAUUGCCGCAAAUUCCUUCAUGAAUCUCCCUUAGUAUAUAAUCGCCUCCUCAUCAUCCACACAUCGCAAAAGGGGCAAGGUGAACCCUCGGCGAUACAGCACUUCAUCUAGUAGCGUGUACCUCGCUGCUCGGCAUUUUAACUUUCUCGCUUGCCUUUUGUCCUUAGGCAAAACUCCGUCGCGGACAUACGCGCGAAUCGGGCCCAUCUAGGAUUCUCCAGUGCUUACUCUCAUCAUCUCCACUUCCUCCCCUAUGCUCGGCGAGGUCCUUACCUCUAGUGGGACCGACUUAGGUAAUUUCGGGUCUGCAAUUGCAGCCAUCCUAGCCCAGAUAUUCCUUCAGCUGCCCAAAUGCUUCCUCGUACUCUGAUGUCCAUUCCAUCUUUCUCCCUUUCUUUAUAAUUUGGAAGAAAGGGUGGCAUUUAUCUGUGGCCCGCGAGAUGCAUAUCCGCUCGGUAAUUCUUAUUCCGGGAUAUCUGCUUUACCUCCACCUCUUGGAAAAGUCCGACCAUCUGCUUCGCCUUCUUCAAAUAAAGGCCCAUCUUCUCUCCCCUUGCUUGGAACUGAUCAUUGAGCUGAUUACAUACCAAUUGGGAAUCUGCUCGGAUUUCUACCCUCUUUGCUUAUGAUCCAUCGGCUCUUUGGACUUUGUAAUCAUAUCAUCCACAUAUACCUAUGCUCUAACUGUUGCUCCUCCUGAUCUCCUUCCACUGGUUCAGCUCGGUCUACCAUAAAUUCUACCAGGGCUUGGGCCUUGAUUGCUCCUUGGGGCCUGUAGGACAGGUCAAAUUCGCUCAGCUCCACAGACCAUUUUACUAACCGACCAGACGCAUCUGGUUUUUGAAGCACUUACCGAAGAGGCUGGUCAGUCAUCACAACGAUCUGGUGGGCUUGGAAAUAUGGUCGGAGUUUGCGUGUUACCGUUAUCAGAGCCAGCGCCCACUUCUCCAUUAGUUUGAUCUAUUUUGGGUAGGGAAAAGCUGUCCUUUGGGCAUGCCUUAUUGAGGUCCGUGAAGUCCACACACAUUCUCCACUUUCCGUUGGCCUUUUUUACCAGGACUACAUUUGAAAUCCAUUCUGGGUACUUGGCUUCCCUUAUAAAUCCUGCUUUCAACAGCUUCUCCACCUCGGCGUUUAUGGCCUCGUACCUUUCCUGGUUGAAGCAUCUCCUCUUCUGUCUCACCGGCCUUGCCCCCUUCUUGAUUGCCAACUUGUGGCAAGCUACCCUGCGAUCGAUUCCGGGCAUAUCUUCAUGAGACCAGGCGAAUAUAUCCGCAUGAGACUGUAGGUAAUUUAUCAGCUCGCCUUUUACUGCCCCAACCAAUCCUGACCCGAUCUUCACUACUCUGCUCGGGUUGCUUUUGCUUACCGCAACUUCCUCCAGUUUCUCAACAGGCUCUUGGCGGCCCUUUUUAAAGUCUCCUCGAUUAUCUAGAGAGGUAACCUGCAGUGUCUCCUUGGCCGCUGUAGCAUAACAACUCCUUGCCAUCCUCUGGUCGCCUUUUACUACGCCNNNNNNNNNNNNNNNNNNNNNNNNNNNNNNNNNNNNNNNNNNNNNNNNNNNNNNNNNNNNNNNNNNNNNNNNNNNNNNNNNNNNNNNNNNNNNNNNNNNNNNNNNNNNNNNNNNNNNNNNNNNNNNNNNNNNNNNNNNNNNNNNNNNNNNNNNNNNNNNNNNNNNNNNNNNNNNNNNNNNNNNNNNNNNNNNNNNNNNNNNNNNNNNNNNNNNNNNNNNNNNNNNNNNNNNCCACCAUUGCCUUGAUCACCAAUGCAUCCUCAUGCGGAUAUAAGAUACCCUCUUCAUCGUCAUCUGUCCACAUAAUGGGAACUUGCCGCACUUUUGCCUUCUUGGUUGCCGGCAAAUUGAAAAGCACUUCUUUGCUAGUCAGGGCAUAUCACCCAUAGUUCUUUCGUGCUCUGUUCGAAUCCCCAGCCAAUGUUGGCCCCCCUGCUAUUACACGGAUAGUCGGCUGUUCAUGUUCCAGGCCCAUCUCAGCCCCUUCAUCCCGCGUAUACUGUGAUUCAGUGACGGGGGACAUUCCAUCUACAUAUUCGUCCAAAUAACGGUUUCUCACCAAAUCCUCCACCUGAAUUUUCAGGUCACGACAUUGGCUGAUAGUGUGACCAUGAGUGUCGUGGAAUUUGCAGAAUUUGCUCUUAUCCCGUCGGUGAGCCGGUUUUGUUAUAGGGGCUGGAGGGUAUAACAAGCCUCGUCCCUCGAUCCUCUCAUACAAUUCCUCCAUGGAGAUCUUUAAUGGAGUGUACUGUCUAUACGCUUUUUACUGCCCCAACCAAUCCUGACCCGAUCUUUACUACUCUGCUCGGGUUGCUUUUGCUUACCGCAACUUCUUCCAGUUUCUCAACAGGCUCUUGGCGGCCCUUUUUGGACUCUCCUCGAUUAUCUAGAGAAGUAACCUGUAGUGUCUCCUUGGCCGCUGUAGCAUAACAGCUCCUUGCCAUCCUCUGGUUGCCUUUUACUACGCCAACCACCCCAUUUACUCUGUAUUUCAGUGCCAAGUAAUGCGUGGAUACAACGCAUUGACUUAUCCUCAUGAAUGGUCUCCCCAGUAUCAUCUGGUAAGGGCUUCUUUCUUCUACCACAACAAAAUCCAACAUCAUUGUUCUUUCAAAUGGCUUCGUCCCCAUAGUAAUUGGGAGUUCGAUGAUCCCCAUGGGAGUUAACCGUCCCCCUCCAAAUCCCUUUAAGGAUGUAUUUGUCCGCUCCAACUUUAAAUCUGAAAUCCCCAUAUCAUCCAGGGCUGACUUAAAUAGAAUGUCAACUGAACUGCCCGUGUCCACUAGUAUUCGCCGCAAUUCUGUGCUAGCCACCACUGCUUUAAUCACCAAUGCAUCCUCAUGAGGAUACAAAAUACCCUCCUCGUCAUCCUCCGUCCACAUAAUGGGAACUUGCCGUACCUUCGCCUUCUUGGCUGCUGGCAAAUUUAGAAGCACCUCUUUGCCAGUUAUGGCGUAUCUCCCAUAGUUCUUCCGUGCUCUGUUCGAAUCCCCAGCCAAUGUUGGCCCCCCAGCUAUCACAUGGAUGGUCGGCUGUUCACCUCCCAGACCCCUCUGAACUUCUUCAUCCCGUGUAUACUGUGAUUCGAUGAUCGGGGACACCCCCUCUACAUACUCAUCCAAGUACCGGUUCCGUACUAAGUCCUCCACCUGAAUCUUUAGGUCACGACAUUGGUCGAUUGUGUGACCAUGAGUGUCGUGAAACUUGCAGAAUAUGUUCUUAUCCCGUCGAUGAGCCGGUUUUGUUAUAGGGGCUGGAGGGUACAGCAGGCCUCGUCCUUCGAUCCUCUCAUACAGUUCCUCCAUGGAGAUCUUCAAUGGAGUGUACUGUCUAUAUGUCAAGCUCUGGUCUAUCAGUUGAACUGCUCGGCUAUCCUGAAUGUCAUCUCGGGCUGGUAUAGUCGCUAGCUGGUCUGGUCUUCCUGCCUUGGAACCACUUGUAUGUAACGGUCUGGGAGCGUUGUGAUAAGGGCGGGCAGCCAUCUGCCUGAAUUCUCGUUGCCGCUCCGGGAAUGAAGUACGCGGAGGUUGGGCCCGGCUGUGUUGGAACUGUUGCGGUCUCAAAGCUACAGGGUAAGGGCGGGACCGAGCUGAUAUUCCGCCCAUAGCUGAGGAUUCCCCAGCUCGCUUUCCUGAUCCGCUCCCACUCGGGGUUCUCCUUUCCUUUCUUCUCAGCUCUUCCAGCUGUUCACUUUUUAUCCUCGCCGACUUUUCCUCUUCGAUUUCAAUGUCUCUCUUUGCCUGCUCAUACCCCGCUGCUGUACGGCCAAGGCGGAUGUACGGUACAGCAGAAACUUUUGAAUCGACAAGGACUGAGAAAAAAAGAUUUUUUCCAUUGUACGGAUACAGCUGUUGUUAUGUACACUAGCCAUGAAUUCGUGCUUUCUUUUCUGCAACCAUUUAAAUGGAUUAUGAUUGGACAAUUUAUUCCUUUUUAUCCCUACUUUAUUUUCAUUUCGUUUUUUCUCUUUUUUUCCCUUCAUUUAUUAAAUUUUUUUUUUUGUGCUCCCUUUCUUUUGCAUAAUAUUACUGUUUUGGAAUACCGGUAAUUGGUAGCCAGGUGAAGCGGCAAGGACUGAGAAUAUCUCCUUACGAAAGGUACGUGACACUGUUCUUAUGGAUUAACUAGUAUUAUUAUUCUUUAGUCAAUUAGAGAUGAAUCUACAAUUUUUUAUGUGUUUUAUAGUGUUAUGCAUGGAUACUUACAAUAAGACAUGAAGCUUAAUUUGGGAUAUAACAUGUGAUUCCUGUAGGCAAUAAGAGAAAAUUUAUGAUUCUACUCUCUUCACUUGCAUUUACAACUUCAUUUCAUAGAAAGCUUGAUAAUAUUAACUGAUUGUGUAAAGCGUUAAUGGCCUAAUAUAAUUUAUAAUUCCAUUCUUUGUCACUUGUUAGUGUCUAGCUAGCUACCCGCAAGAUUAAUUGACUGAUUAAUUUCGAUUUACCCUCCAAUAAACUGAUUAUCUUCAACAUAUAUUCUAAGCUAUUAUCUACCUCGGCUCACUCUUGAUUACUCUUCCCAAGGAUAAUGCCAUAAAGGUGCAGCUUUCAUCUUGGAACAAAAUGUUUUUAUUUAACUCAUCAAGAAGCUUGACUAAGCCAAAUUCUACUUUCUCUUCAUCUUCGUGCUUAUUGCUUACCAGAGAGCUAGCCAAUUCGGGUAUGAGCAUUAACUAAUUAAUAUCGUAUAUUUACAUUUGUUUAUUUAUUUAUGCCUUAUUACCCAUUCAUUAAUUGACUAGUAUAUAUAGUCAUCUACAUUGCACAAUUUUUCACGAAGACAAAUAAAAAUUUUCUCUCUUCAGAAUAGUUGGGAUCCGCAUAAUUUUUAAAUAAUACAUAUCGUUUCCACAUUUCCACGUGUAGUGGCUUAGCUACUAAUAAUAGUUCUAAUAUUUGAGACGCGGAGGUUGAGCCCGGUUGUGCUGGAACUGCUGUGAUCUCGGAGCUAUAGAGUAAGGGCGGGACCGAGCCGAUAUUCCGCCCAUCACUGAAGAUUCUCCAGCUCGUUUUCCCGACCUGUUCCCCGUCGGGGCCCUCCGUUCCUUCGCCUCAGCUCGUCCAGCUGUUCACUUUUUAUUCUUGCCGAGAGUAAGGGCGGGACCGAGCCGAUAUUCCGCCCAUCACUGAAGCUAGCACGGCUCGGUGAUAUCGUUUUACAAAAUCUCGAAGGGACUCAUGCUCCUCUUGUUUCAUCCCCAUCAGUUCCAUCAUGUCGUCCUCUGGGGCCACUGCCCCUCGGAACUGCUCGGCCAACUCCUGGCACAUCUGCUCAUACCCCUUUAUACUUCCUCGGGGCAGCUUGCGGUACCAUUCUCGGGCUCGUCCCUCUAAUGUCAACGGGAACACCCUGCACCUCUGAGCUGGUGUCAGCCCCUACACACUCGUCAUGUCGUUGAAACGCUCAAUGUGUACCAGCGGGUCACUUCGCCCGGAGUAUUUGAGGUCGGGGAAGCGGAAAUCUCUUGGGAUUAUGGUGCCCAUGAUCUCAGUUGAUAGUGGAGAUUCUUCAUCUAGCAUUAUCCUCCAGCUUGGGGGUUUCCUCUUACCCUGUAUCUCCUCUAUCACUUGCGCUAAUCUGCGCACCUCUCCUUCCAAUUCUACAGCACGGUCAGGGUCACAUGCAGCCAUAUGAUCUCGCUCCUGCUCGACAUUCUGCAACCGCUGUCUUAACUCUCCUUCAUCAGCACUGGUCCCUCGGCCAUCAGCCUCCGGUACUCGCCUGGGGCGAGGUUGGUUCCUCCCUUCAUCUACUUGCUCUCCAGGAACCCGACCAGUGCUCCUGUAGGGAUGCACCCCAUAAGGUUGGUCCGCCAGCGGAGGGAUUUCCUCGACUCUACACCUCCGGAGGUUGAGUUCUGCUCCAACAUCAUCUCUCCCCCCGGGGAUUUCGCAAUCCCUUCUCCGCUCAUCUCUCAGCUCAUUCAGUAUGGUAGCGAGAGUCUCCAUUUGCUUCUCCAUCCGUUCCAAUCGAUCUUGCAUCACCCUCUCUCGGGCUUCAUUUGCAAUUUCCCGAAGGGUGAUUGUCUCCCCCGAUUCGUUAUCCUCCCUCAAAGCGUCCUUCCUUGGCAAAUCCAUGUCUAAUCGUUCGCUGUUUCUCCGGUAACUACUAAUUCAGUGGUAACUUUUUAUCCAGAUCCCCACAGACGGCGCCAAAAUGUUGAUGCUAAAAUCUGCUCGCCCUUGGACCGACCAGAUUCUUUCACCAACGUUUGUAUUAUCGACUGUUUGUUCGAACCACUAAGGCUGGUAUCACCCUCCUUUCUCUCACUAGACCUGCGUUCACAAAAAUGGGUCAGAGACGCCGGUGGUUUUGCCGGCGUAAACCCUCUGAUGCCUAAGUUAGCACAAGGUAUUUACGGGAAAACAAUGUAAUUUGGAUUCAAGAAGUUUGUUAGAAAUUUGUAAGGAAAUGGCCUGGUUGCAAUUUGACAGCGUUUUCCCUCUCUCCAAUUUUUCUCUCCCUUUCUUCAUCGAUUUCUUCUUCUUUUAUAGCCGCUGUCCCCACGUUUCCGUUUGCCAUUCAUCCCACAUUUUUCGGGUAGUGGCAGCCCCUCAUAAGACUCUAACUGUUACAUUGUGGGCAAACGUGGAUCUCGCGUGUCCUUCAACGGUUCUGGGAAAAGCACAACUACCGCGAUUCUGUGGGAUCGUGUUCCCGCUUCUCUGGGGAUGAGUGUCGGCUCGGUAUAUACCUCUGGUCGGUAUGUUUCCCUGGUUGUAUUCAUCUCUGGUCGGCUCAUGUUAGCCCACGUGUUCUGCUCAUAUCACUUUGGCUGAAGCGAUCCGUGCCGGGGCGGAAAUAGUAGCAUGGCCGACCUGGUGCUUUUAUGUACUCAACAUAAUUAAUAAAUAAAAUUAAGCAAAGUAAAUUCUAAAAAUUCCAGACAUUUAACAUUCUACAAAAUAAAAAUAAUCCGAACCAUAUUCUAAAAUUAAAAUAUACAGUUAUCCAAACACUGAAUUAUAAAUUCUUAAGUGAUUUCUUUAAUACUCUUCAUCUUGUCUUUGUCACCCUGAAAACAAGAAUCCUACACAUAAAAAGUAAAUAAAAUUAGUUAACAAGAUAAAUUAAAAAUUAAACUUAAAUAAUUGAAAAAAAAUUACUUAGCUCUGUCUAGAAAAUUAAAAUGCAGCAAUGGACGUCAAAUGCUCAUGAACAAUCAUAUGCCACAAAAUACAAUCUCAGUUCUUUGACAUCAAAUAUGUUUGUCCUGAAUCUUGACAAAUGUGUAUCGAUUUUUAUGUAUUUGAAUUAAUACACAGAUUUCGCAAAACUAAAAUGAAACACAAUAUCUAUUUUUAUAUAUGAAUAUGGAAAUUAGAGAUUGGAAUUUUGCAAAUGUAAAGAGUUUCGAAGAGGGAUUAUGGAGCAAUUUGAGAUAUAUAACAAAGCAAUUAAUUAUCAAAAAGGGAAAAUUGAAAACACCCUAAUUAUUUUAAAACCAAUUGUAAAAUGCUUCAAAGCACCGGUCGUGCAUGCGGAUGCCACAAAUAAUGGGUCAAAUCAUGUGCAGAAGUAGAACAUGCAUGCUUGAGAAUUUUAGAUAACUGCAUAUUUCAAAUGCAAGAGAUAUAAAAAGGCACAUCAUUCGAUCGACAAAAAUAAACGCAAGCUAUCCUAGACUAAACAUAGCAAAAGAUUGAAAGCCUUCUGUAUCUAAUCACUCUCUCUGAUUAAUACAAAUGAGACAACAAAUUGAAUAAGAAAUAUCAAAAUAGAGCAAAAAUAAAAAUGCAAUAAGCUCUACAUCCUAAUCUGGAACUGAUCAUUAAUUUUUAGAAUUUAUAAUCACCAACAAAAAAAAUAAAAAAUAAAUCCAUAGUUCAAAAAUUAAAAAAAAAAAGGAUAGGAGCUUACCGUGAGUUAAUUGAGAGCGAGAUGGUGGAGACAAACGAAAUGGUUGCUAGCUAGCUAAGUUGUAGAGAAAACAAAACAAAAUUGUAGUCGGCUGUAGAGGGCAGAUAUGAAGGGAAGAGAGGGCUAAGAGAAGGGAAAGAAAGAGUGGGAUCGGAAAUGAUGAAGAACAAAAAUUAGGACCGGCUAUGCCCUAGUUUUUGUUCCACUUAUAUACUUUGUAUUAUUAUAGUUUUAAAUUAUUAUAUUAACCUGCAAGUUUCAAAAUUUUUUAGAUAAGUUUAAAGAUAAAAGUAUAAUUUAAUUAAACGAAUUUUAAACGAAUGAAUCGUAUUCAAUUUGUUUAUGACCCACUUAUUAAACGAAUCCUAAAUGAAUAAACGAAUCAAUGUCUUGAAACCCAGAUUCGAUUCGUUUAAUUAGCAAAACGAAUUGAAUUCACUCAUUUAUUAAGCGAAUUAAUUUUUUCAAAUCCAAACCUAUUUAAUUUGCAUCGAUUUGAAUCGAAUAAACGAAUCCUGACCCAGAUUGUUACUCCUAGUUUUGGAGAAUGUCUUUGUUCAGUAAAAAUUGCUCCGAAUGUCAUAAUUGUUUAUUUUAUAAAUGUUUAUGUUUGAAGUAGCACUGCGUCGAGGACAAAACAAAGUGGGCUAGAAAAAGUGCAAAAUAUAACGCAAAUCACCAAUGAACGAAAUUAAAUUUAUCCAUGCAAUGACUUUAAUAUAUAAAUCUUAGAUAUAAAAUUAUAAGAAUUGCAGAGCUUUAAAGCUCAAUGUUGCCGAUUUUACACACUAUUGGCAACUCUGUUGACCAAUUAUGAUAGUAUAUUGUGGGAAAAUAAAACCACUUUGAUGCAAUAUAAUCUUGAUCAUCUUUGCUCACGUUAUUAUAAUUUUCUUCUCACACAGGGAUUCCAAGGUGGAUAUGGAUUGAACAAUUUUUUGUAAAUGUAAUCAUUCUGCUUUGAAAAAUGACCCACUGAAAUGGAAUAAAAUGGAAAUUGACCAUAAUAGGUCAAUGCAAAAAAUAGUGCAUCCACACUUGAAUUGCAGAACUUUAUUGACUCCACAAAGACUGAUGUUUACUUCCAAUAUUCUUCUUGGAAAAUUUUAGCAUGUACCUACUCGCAUUCAUAUUUUCCAAGCAUAAAAAUUCCUGGAGUGAAGGACACGCAAAAUGUUCAUUCAAUAAAAUCACAGAGUCUUCAUUAAAUGCUCCGAACUUGCCCCACAGAAGAUGUGGACGUGGCGAAAUUCCACGUUUACAUGCACUGCACAUUUGCCAUAUCGGUGUCUUUCAUUAAUUCACGGAAUUGUGAGGUCAAUAACAAAACAGUCAGUGUUAGGAUUUUAUAUUUAUACAUAGUAAUCUGAGUUGCAUAUCUUUUCAGUAAAACAAAAGCAAUCCUGUUGCACAUUGCAGACAUGUGUGACAAAAAUUGUGCUUCAUUGGCACUUCUGUCUAUUUUACUGUUAUCAGGAGUUUUGCACUGCAAACCGUAAAAGCACUUGGUUCAGGUUGCAAAGAAGUUGAGAGGAAAGCACUUCUUCAGUUCAGACAAAACCUUGCGGACCCUUCAGGCCGGCUCUCGUCUUGGGUUGGAGAAGAUUGCUGUAGAUGGAGAGGAGUAAGCUGCAACAACAGAACUGCAAGUGUCAUCAAGCUCAAACUCAACAACCCAUUUCGAGACAGUUUUGACGCAUAUGAAGAUGAUGCAGGACACGAAUUGGGUGGUCCGAUAAGUCCAUCUCUGCUUCAGUUGAAAGAUUUGAAAUACUUGGACUUAAGCAUGAAUAAUUUUAAAGGGUUCAAAGUUCCAGAAUUCAUUGGAUCACUAAAGGAACUGAGAUAUCUCAAUCUGUCAGGCUCAUUUUUCGGUGGGACUAUUCCUCAAAGUCUUGGAAAUCUCUCAAAUUUGCUUUUAAGGCUGCAGCAUAUUGGCUUGAAAGUAUUAGUAUGCUUCGUUCUCUUGUUGAGUUGCACUUGCCCAAUUGUAAUCUUCCCAUUCUACCUAUCCAUUUUCCAUCUCUAAACUUCACAUCCCUUCAAGUGCUUGACCUCUCCAACAAUGGUUUCAAUUCCACGAUACCUCACUGGUUGUUCAACAUCACUAGACUUUCAAGCCUGGAUCUCAACACCAACGAUCUGCAAGGUGACAUACCAGAUGGAUUUGCCAGCUUGAAUUCUCUACAACAGCUAGAUUUGUCUGGAAAUUCAUUCCUCGGAGGCCGGCUUUCCAGAAAUUUGGGAAAGCUAUGCAAUUUGCGG